AUGUUUGAGCUGAAGAUGGUGAAGGGAAGCACCUUACAGGGUGUCCUGGAGGCGAUCCUCGACCUGGUCAAUGUGGCCAACGUCGACUGCUCCAGCAAGGGCUUCUCGCUCCAGGCCCUGGACACCGAACACGUCGUCUUCCUCUCGCUCUUCUUCCCCUCCGAGGUCUUCCGGUCCUACCGCUGCGACGAAGACUGCUCCAUGGGCAUCGCAAUCGCCGACAUGGUCGAUUUGCUCCGCGCCUCCAACGAUGGUGACAUCAUCACCAUCAAGGCUAAAACUACGGAUAUGGAUUUGCAGCUUGUGUAUGUGGACGCCCCAAGCCAUCGCCUCAAAAUCUCGGAAUGGCACGAUAUGGAGUCGGAGUACCAGGCCAUUUUCUGCAUGCCCUCUGCGCAGUUUAUGUUGAACUGCAAGUCCCUCAGCGUCAUCGGCGACGAUGCUGUAGUUGUCAUCAGGGUGAAUGAGGAGGUCAUCAGCUUCUCUACUAAAGGAAAACGUCGGUGCGUGAACAUUUCCCAUGUGCUGAACAAAACUGACAAGCAUGUUACCCUUACACAUGCGCGAGGGCCAGUUUCAUUGGCCUUGAACCUGAGGUACAUGAAGUCCUGCGCCAAGGUGUCUACCCUGUUUGAUCAAGUGAAGAUCGGUCUCUCCACCACGCUACCUUUGAUGGUCGAGUGCAAAAUUGCAGAGAAGGGCUACAUCAGGUAUUUCGUGGCAACAAAGAACCUAACAGAGGAAGAGGAAGGGAAAACAGAGACCGAAGAGGCAGAGGGAGAGGAAGGGAGGCAAAGGAAGAAAGCAAAAAAAAAAAUGAUGAAACGGGAGAUGAGAUGCUGGGCUGAUGAAUAA
rnacentral:rRNA from 1 species